GCAUAUCAAUAAGCGGAGGAAAAGAAAAUAACAAUGAUUCCCUCAGUAACGGCGAGCGAAGAGGGAUAAGCUCAAAUUUUAAAUCUGUUGGGUUCCACUUAACAGAGUUGUAUUUUGAAGAAACGUUUUCUGCAUCCAGGAUUAGCCUAAAUCCUUUGGGAUAAGGUAUCAUGGAGGGUGAGAAUCCCGUUCAUGGUUAAUCUUAAGGAAGCUCUACGAUACGUUUUCCAAGAGUCGAGUUGUUUGGGAUUGCAGCUCAAAAUGGGAGGUAAAUUUCUCCUAAGGCUAAAUAUUGGCGAGAGACCGAUAGCGAACAAGUACCGUGAGGGAAAGAUGAAAAGAACUUUGAAAAGAGAGUUAAACAGUACGUGAAAUUGUUGAAAGGGAAACGAUUGAAGUCAGUCAUACCAACGGGAAAUCAACCUUUUGAGCUCGGUCUCGUGGGUUUUGAAGAGUUUCAAAGCCUUCGGAUUCGCGGGAUUGGGAUCUCUUGGCGUACUUUUUCGUACGGUUAGUCAACAUCGGUUUUGAAUUUCAUAAAAUGACUGGAGGAAUGUAGCUUCGAUCUCGUAUUGAAGUGUUAUAGCCUUUGGUAGAUGUGAUGUUUGAGACCGAGGAUUGCAACGGAUACCCUUCAGGGCUAUUCGUCUGAUCUCUGAUACGUUGCCUUGAUGUUGAAAGCUUGCUUAUGAUGUUAGGGUAUUACGGUCAAAAGGUUAGAACGAAUUACAUUCGUUAAAGCAUGUUGACGUAAUGGCUUUAAACGAC
rnacentral:rRNA from 1 species